rnacentral:rRNA from 1 species
GACGGAGGAUGCAAGUGUUAUCCGGAAUCACUGGGCGUAAAGCGUCUGUAGGUGGUUUAAUAAGCCAACUGUUAAAUCUUGAGGCUCAACCUCAAAAUCGCAGUCGAAACUAUUAGGCUAGAGUAUAGUAGGGGUAAAGGGAAUUUCCAGUGGAGCGGUGAGAUGCGUAGAGAUUGGAAAGAACACCGAUGGCGAAGGCACUUUACUGGGCUAUUACUAACACUCAGAGACGAAAGCUAGGGUAGCAAAUGGG